rnacentral:lncRNA from 1 species
UGGGAUGCUUUGUGGCUAAGUGCGGAAAUCUCUCGAGUUCGAAUGGGGGAGCCAGGUUCUCACCUGGUUUGGUGCGAAUGGCCCAAACUGGUUGUGCCAGACCAGCCUAGCUUACUCCGUGUAUUGUGAAAUGUUCUUUUGUUAUGAUGUUACUAAAGCCCCUUUUACCAAAUCAAAGAUGAAAACAGACUGAAAGUACCCAGAAACCUGAUUUGCAAGAGUGAGACCAACAGUUUCUGCAGGGCAGAGUGGUGACACUUUGGCAUGAGUAAUUUAUGUGGCUGUUGGUAUGCUGUGAC